GACGUAGGGCGCGAGCGUUGUCCGGAUUGAUUGGGCGUAAAGAGCUCGUAGGCGGCUCGUUGCGUCGGCUGUGAAAACCCGCAGCUCAACUGUGGGCCUGCAGCUGAUACGGGCGGGCUGGAGUUCGGUAGGGGAGACUGGAAUUCUCGGUGUAGCGGUGAAAUGCGUAGAUAUCGAGAGGAACACCUGCGGCGAAGGCGGGUUGCUGGGCUGACACUGACGCUGAUGCGCGAAAGCCAGGGGAGCGAACGGG
rnacentral:rRNA from 1 species